CUGGGAGGGAUGAGGACCUACAAGUCAUCCUCAGUCCUGAGCUCUGGGCUCUCAGCUGGAUACCACUGCCUUGGAACUCCAAGAUCCCCAGGAACCUCAAGCUGAAGGAUCAGAACCCCAGAGUCAUUGGCCCAGCUGGUGUCAAGCAUCCUGGGUACCUGACCAGACUGGACGACCUUGGGUAAAACAACCUGUAUGAAAACUCA